rnacentral:rRNA from 1 species
AUGACGCCGGUGAAGGUGUUCGGGCCGGCCGCGUCGACGAACGUGGCGAGGGUGCUCGUCUGCCUGGAGGAGGUGGGCGCCGAGUACGAGCUUGUCGACAUCGACUUCCCCGGCAAGGGGCAUAAGCGCCCUGAGCACCUCGCCAGGAAUCCGUUUGGGCAGGUCCCAGCUUUACAAGAUGGCGAUCUCGUCCUCUUCGAGUCCCGCGCCAUUGCUAAAUGCGUGCUUCGCAAAUACAAGUCGGAGCAAGUGGACUUGUUGAGGGAGGGCAAUCUGGAGGAAGCUGCCCUGGUAGACAUAUGGACGGAGGUCGAAGCACACCAAUACCACCCGGCCCUCUCACCGAUCGUGCUGGAGUGCUUCAUAUACCCGACCUUACGCGGUCUUCCCACGAAUCAAAGGAUUGUGGAUGAAAGCCUGGAGAAGGCGAAGAAGGUUCUAGAAAUCUACGAAGCCCACCUGUCCAAACACAAGUAUUUAGCCGGUGAUUUCGUCAGCUUUGCAGAUCUGAACCAUUUUGCUUGUACUUUCUACCUCAUGGAUGCUACGCCUUAUGCGUCUCUGUUCGACUCCUACCCUCAUGUGAAAGCGUGGUGGGACGAUCUGAUGUCCAGACCGUCCAUGAAGAAGCUCGGUGCAGGUAUGACCACCAGGGUUUAG